rnacentral:ncRNA from 2 species
AACAUGCUCCAGGGUCGGUGGAAUUCCGAACCGGCGGUGACAGUCCGCGAAGCCCUCUCCGAGGGCCCGAGCUGGUGGAACUCCAGCGCCGACGGUGAUGACGGCGCAGUCCGUCGAAGUCCGGAGGAGAGGCGCAUGGG